GUAGUUAGAGCUGAGUGGUUAAGGCGAUGGACUAGCAAUCCAUUGGGAUCUCCCGGCACAGGUUCAAAUCCUGUCAACUAUG